GGCGGCGCGGUGGGGUACGGGCCGGUGUGGGACCACAUCACCGGCUACUGGAGCGCCAGCGCGGCCAGGCCGGACGGCGUGCUCUUCCUGCGGUACGAGGAGCUGCUGCGCGACCCUGCCGAGCACGUCCGGGAGCUGGCGCGGUUCGUGGGUCUGCCGUUCUCCGGCGCGGAGGAGGAUGCCGGCGUCGUCCACGACAUCGUCAACCUCUGCAGCUUCGGGCACCUCAAGACCCUGAAGGCCAACAAGACGGGCCACAUGAAUACCAGACUCCCGAUCCCGCGUGACGCGCUAUUCAGAAAGGGCGUGGCCGACGACUGGGUGAACCACAUAACGCCGGAGAUGGCGCGACGCCUGGACGACAUCGUCGCUGACAAGCUCCAUGCGGCAGGCCUCACCUUCCACCAUAAUUUGUUGAUG
rnacentral:rRNA from 1 species